GACGAACGCUGGCGGCGUGCCUAAUACAUGCAAGUCGAGCGAAGUUUUUCUGGUGCUUGCACUAGAAAAACUUAGCGGCGAACGGGUGAGUAACACGUAAAGAACCUGCCUCAUAGACUGGGACAACUAUUGGAAACGAUAGCUAAUACCGGAUAACAGUAUUUCUCGCAUGAGAGAUAUUUAAAAGUUGGUUCUGCUAACACUAUGAGAUGGCUUUGCGGUGCAUUAGCUAGUUGGUGGGGUAAAGGCCCACCAAGGCGACGAUGCAUAGCCGACCGGAGAGGAUGAUCGGCCACACUGGAACUGAGACACGGCCCAGACUCCUACGGGAGGCAGCAGUAGGGAAUCUUCCGCAAUGGGCGAAAGCCUGACGGAGCAACGCCGCGUGAGUGAAGAAGGAUUUCGGUUCGUAAAGCUCUGUUGUUAGGGAAGAAUGGAUAUGUAGUAACUAUACAUGUAAGAGACGGUACCUAACCAGAAAGCCACGGCUAACUACGUG
rnacentral:rRNA from 1 species